UGAGGGGAGGAGAGAAAAGAGGGUGGGGAGGGGACCGCGGGCGGCGGGGGGAGGGGAACGCGCCGCCAGGGCAGACAAUGAGCGCCGCUCAGCCUCCGGUUGUGGGCCGAGCCCAGAGUACCUUCCCGGGAGUGGGGGCGAGCCCUUCGAGGGGGCGCAGAGCCCUGGGACGCCCGGGGAGGGGCGGAGGGGGAGGAAGGCUUGACCUGGCUGGCGACCCACACCCAUCCGGCGGCGCAGCACUUUCCUCCGCCCCCAGUUACACACGCACUCACGGGGGCGGGUGGGGGGAGCAGUGGCUGUGCAAAGCCCCGCGCUGCCACCGCGGCGGGAGGGAUGCGCCAGCUUUCGGGUCAACGUGCCCCCCAGAAUGAGGGGGAAAGUGCUUUGCUCUUCCGGCCUGCCCCGUUCUUCUGUCCACGUUAGAAGAGUUUUUGUUGUUCUGCAGCUGUAUGGGACUGACCUUAAACUUUCCCCGACCUCUUCUCGAGACCCUGGGGCUCGGGUCGUGGUGGCCACCGGGGAUGGAGGAUCCAAAUAUAUGGAAAAGAAGGAACUCCAGUGCCCAGCUUCUUAUCUCUACCCUGCUUUUUAGAAACAGACUAUAAAUUCCCAGGAGGUUUCGGGAGUUCACGUCUGCACUCACCAGCUAACCUUUGGGAAAAACCUUUUGAUUCGGGGUCCUGGUGUACUUAAAGGCUAGUCCCUGAAGGUGCGCGUGAUGGAAAAAAGGGCUUCCACCCCAGUCGCGCCCCAAGAUGCUCUCCAAGUUUUGGUGUCCCGUUUGCUCUGAGCUUAUCCUGGAGAAUUUCAGCUUGUUAUCUAGGCCACCCAUGACCGACGAAAGAUCUUCCCUCCCGGCUUCUCCCAAGGCCGCUUUAACCCAAAUAAAUUUGGCUAUUAAGGGCCAAGAUGCCUGACAAAAGAUCGAAAGGUGUCUAUCCGUGAUCGCUUAAAGAAGCGGAGGAAAAGCUUGUGGCUCUCUGAUCCCGAUAAAGACAUUCCACCCGGCGCCGGCCUCCCUUCCCGCGGCCUGGCUGCGCCCUGACACCCUGAGAUCGCGGCCUCACUGGCGCACACCUCCACGGGCCCGGCGGGACCUGUGUCCGCUGCACCGGGAAUGUGGAGGUCCCCAGGCUGCCUGGGUCCCGGGGUCCGUGGAACUCCAGGCCGGACGGAGUUGGGCUCCCAAAACAGACACCCUGCACUUGCCAGAAAAACUAAACCGAGCUCACUGGGGCCUGAAUUGCCGUCCCGUUUUGAUUAUUUUCUGAUGUUGAAUAAUUCUACCUUCCCACCUCCCACUCCCUGGGGUUUUGCCGAGGGGCGAUGUUAUUCCAUAUCUCUGGUUGUCUGGAGCAGCCCUUCUUUGGAACCCCGGUCAGAACCGAUGGGUGGAACUGGACAGCUGAAUUAGACUGAGGCCAAUGCGGCGGGUGUGGACUCGCAAAUGAAGAGCGUGCAGAGAGAGAGAGAGCAUGUGUGUGCGUGCAGGUGUGCAAGCAAGAAAGGGACAGAGAGAGAGAGAGAGAGAGAGAGAGAGAAUCCCAAGGAGGCUCCAUCCGCACUGUCCACGAAGAACCCGACUCGGGGCUUAAACCUGCAAAUCGUGAGAUUAUGACCUGAGCUGAAAUCAAGGGGCCCAGAAUUAAGUCUGCAGGAAAAGGCUAGCUCAUUCUCAUGACACGGAAGGCCGUUCAAAAGGAAAGGAGUAGUUUCGAAACCCUUGUUUCUCAACUGUCAGCAUUGAAAAUCUAUGGAGCAAGUGGACUUCAACGGAUAUAAUCUUUUCGGAAUGUAACUUGAUAAUCAGCUUUACUAGUUGGAGAACUUAUUGUGUAACAUCACAAUGGUGGCAAGUUGUACAGAAUUUAUAUGACCCACAGCAAGGAAAUUAUUAAAUAUAGCAUAUCCACACAAUGGAUCAUUCUAUUGCCAUUAAAAAACAUGUUUUUGAAGAAUAUUUAAUAAAUGGAAAAAUGCUCAUCUUUAUGGUGUAAUCAUCUUUAUGGCUGGCAAGAUAAGGAAGGGCCUUUAUUUCCUCUGUGUGUGUGUGUGUGUGUGUGUGUGUGUGUGUGAGUUUUUCUAUUUUACAAGUUUCUAUAAUGAGCAUGUAUUAUUUUUUUGAAAUAAGAAAAAAAAAUCCCAGGAAUUCAGGAAGGCCCAGGUUGGGCCCUCACCCUGGAUGUGAAUGAAGUCUGGCUGUCAGUGGGUCAGUAGAUCAGUCAGCAAAUAUUUAUCCAGUGCUUACUUUGUGCCAGGGACAAGGACAAACACCGGGGACACAAAUGACUUAAAAAUAAAACAAAACAACACUUACCAGGAGGGGUACCUGCUCUGAGGCACUGAGUUCACAGUGAGUCUUGAUUGUGUGAGCAAAUGCAGAUGCUUGCUGUCCCAUCGGUAAAUGCUAAUUACUGGUGCCCUAAAGAAAAGAAACUAGUUUAACAGACAUAUUAGUAACUUUUUAAAAUCCAAGAUACCGAUCAUCAGAAAGUCCACCUAAUCUAAAAUUUCUUUCUCCUACAUGCUAUUUUUAGGAAAGAAGAUAAAUAACAAGGAAAUAAGAUAACGUAGAUAUAAAUUUUUUAAUUAGCUUAUUUCCUACCUCAUGUUUUAAUUGCACCAUGCAAUGAGAGUUGCUGUUCAUACUAACAUACGAUACUGUCCGAUUUUAAAGAAUACUCUCCCUUCGGGGCACCUGGCUGGCUCUUGAUCUCAGGGUUGUACGUUCGAGUCCCACGUUGAAUAUAGAGAUUACUUAAAAAAUAAAAAAAAAAUUAAAAAAAAAAAAAGAAUACCUUCCCUUCAUCUUUGUGCUUGGAUUCUUUGAAGAAUGGUGUUUAAAGGGUAAUGUUCAGUUAACCAGAACCUCUUAACCAUUCUGAUUAAAUGGAAGAUGCCAUAUUUAGAAUUUAAUGAGGAAUCAUGAGGAAUUCAGCUUGAGAUGAAAACAGUCAAUGAAAUUUACAUCUGUAAGAAGCUUAUGUUUAAAUAUUAUUAUUAUUAUUAUUUGCAAGUAAUAGAGUAGAUUAUAAUGGUGAACAGUACAAAAAAAGCCAAGAGUGAUAGUCUGAUUGAUAAUAAUUUUGUUCAAAACUACAUCUUCUCUUGAAGACAUAUCAUGUUAUCCAUAUACAAAUAGAAGUAAUAUACUUUUUAGACCAUCCCUGAUAGGAAGUAAAAAACCUCUAGGAACUGGAAACUAGUUCCAAUUGUGCCACUAUCUGAUCCAGGCAAUGUAUCUACCUCCUUGGGGUUCAUUUUUCUCAUCUGUAGAAUUGAAGUGGCAAUUGCUACUUCUUUAUUAUUUUACAGUAAUGAUUUAAGAGUAACUAAUAUAUGAAAGGGCACCUGGGUGGCUCAGUUGGUUAAGCGUCCUACUUUUGCUUUUGGCUCAGGUCAUGAUCUCAUGGCUCUUGGGAUCGAGCCCCUCGUCAGGCUCUGUGCUGACAGCAUGGAGCCUGCUUGGGAUUCUCUCUCUCUCUCUCUCUCUCUCUCUCUCUCUCUCAUUCUCUCUCUCUCUCUCAAAAUACAUAAAUAAAGGGUAAUGUAUGAAAAAGUGGGUGUGGUUCCUUGGCAGAAUGAGCUAUAACUAGCCGAGGAAGAUUCAGAAAAUCAGGAGCCAGUGCAGAUACAUGAGGGUGCUCUGUCAUCUCCAAGCCUUUGGCAGCCCCCUUGUGUCUUGAUAACAGGAACAACACAGGCUGAGCACUAGAUAAAUAUUCUCUUCUUUUGCUCUAAUGGAAGGAUGACCUAGGGCUAUAUGGCUUACAGAAAUCUAUGAAACCUGUCCAAGGAAAUUACAACUAAUAACAAUAGAAUGAAUAACAAAAAUAGUAAAAUCAUCACUUGGAAACAGUAAUAAUUGGUUCAGAGAAGUAUCAUCAACAAAAGCUAAAAUUUGUCAGUGAAAGUAUAAUGAGAAACAAGUCCCCACAAUACUAAGAGAAAAAUAGUAACUUUACAGUAACAGAAUCUGACUGACACCACCUUCACCAGGUGAUUAAAGUUAACAUUACUUGUAAUGGGACAGAUGUACAUCAUGUGCUUCCCACAGAGAUGUUCUGAGAAGGACCCAACAUCGAUAUGGUGCUAUGAAAAGUCCAUGAGGAGAUGAGAUACAGGACAACUCAGCUGAGGGUCAUUCUAUAAAAUGAUUGGCCAGUACUUUUCAAAAGUAUCAAGGUGUGAAAGGCAAAGAAAUAUUGAGGAAGUUUUCUAGAUUAAUAAAGACUAAGGAGACACAAGGGUUAAUGCAGCCUGUGAUCCCUCAUUGGAUGUGGAACCAGAAAAGGGACACAGUGGAACAAUUGGUGCGAUCUGAAUCAGGUCUAUAGAUUUGAUAAGAGUAUUGUAUCCAUGGUACUUUUCCAGUUCUGAUCAUUGUACUGUAGUUAGGUAAAAUGUUAUCUUUGAGGGAAUCUGGAUGAAAGGUAUAUAGAAAUUCUUGGUACUAACUUUCUAUUUUUUAAUUUUGGGGGAUACAUUUAGAAAAAACACUGUCCAGGAUAGGCAACUGGAUAGAAAUUUCUUAAAAUUAUUUUUGUGAAGUGAUACUCAGGAAAUAAACAGAAAUCUGACUUACUUAAUGUAACAUGUCAGGGUAUCUCAAAAGACCCCUUCUUAAAAGGAAUUAAAGAUGGAGAAGAUCAUUUGAGAAGUGGUUUUCAUUUCCCUUUGCCAAACAAAGAAUCAUAGAAUCUCACUGCUGGAAGGAACCGCAAAGGGAAUAUUGAUAAAGAAGAAACCAGCCACAACCUUAACAUCCAACAACAGGGAAUCAUUUAUUAUGCUUCAUGCACUCCAUGGACUGAAGCAACAAUCUAAAGUUAUCUUUGUGAGAAAUCAUGUAGCAAAAUAGAAACAUGCUUAUACCAUAAUUGUAUUCCUUUAAAAAUCAGGAUGUGGGGUACCUAGGUAGCUCAGUCAGUUAAGCAUCCAACUCUUGAUUUCAGCUCAGGUCAUGAUAUCAGGGAAAAAUAAAAAUAAAAAUCAGGAUGCAAAAUAUAUGUACACUCUCUAUAGCCAACUACCUAAAAUAUGCAUACAUGAAGAAAAACAAAGGAAAUGCAUGGUGAAUUCAGUUAAGAUGGUAGAAUUGUGGGGGUGCCUAGCUGGCUUAGUCAGUAGAGCAUGGGACUCUCGAUCUUGGGUCAUGAGUUCGAGUUCCACAUUGGAUGUAGAGAUUACUUUUUUUUUUUAAAGUGGAAUUGUGGGGAGAUGUUUUUCCUUUUUCUAUUUUACAAAUUUCCUAUGAAAUUUUAAAUUGCAAAUGUUUUUAUAGAGAAAAAGUGAAAGUUCUCUUCGUUUUGAGCGAAAAUUUAUCCUUCUAUAUAAUAAAUCCUAAAUCUGCUUUCACACAACUGCCUUGCAUACACCCGCUCCUCAGCCAUAGAUACUAGAGACCUCACACACAAUGAUGUGGCCCAGCCCCUGGGCCACUGUGCCCGACUGCAACCAGCCUUCCUGGGCUCUUACCACUUUGUAUUUGAUGUAAGAUCUUUCACGUUUGGGAAAUAAGUUUUGGGAAAGCCCAUGUGAGCAGCCUUAACUUCAUAGCAUUUGCCCAAAACUCAUUAGACAUUGUCUCUAUUCACCUUUUUCAUUUUCAUUCCUCCCCUGGGGCUGAAGCUUCACUCCUUUGCUGGUUGUCACCCUUACAUACUGUCUGGUUCUCACCAGUCCCACCCCCACUCCCAGCUCUUGGGGGCUGAACUCUAUUUCCAGGGGAUGAGUUUGCCCAGGCUGCUGUAACAAAGCACAACAGACCAAGUGGCUUAAAUAACAGAAAUGUAUUAUCUCAUAGUUGUGGAGGCCAGAAGUCCAAAAUUAAGAUGUCAGCAAGAUUGGUUCCUCCUGAGGGCUGACAGGGAAGUCUCUGUUCCAGGCCUUUCCCCUUGGAUCUUUUUUGCAUGUCUCUUCGCAUUGUCUCUUCUUUAUGUGUCUCUAUGUCCAAGCUUCCCUCUUCUUAAAAGGACUAGUCACUGGAUUAGGGCCCACCCUUAUCUUAACUUGAUUAUAUCUGCAAAGACAUUAUUUCCAAAUAAGGUCACAUUCUGAGGUACUGGGGUUAGGACUUCCACACUGGAAUUUGUGGCAGGGGAGACACGAUUCAACCUAUAACACUCACAUCCCGAGCUACUGAUAGAGUAUGGCUUCACAUGCGAUUAGAUCACCUGAAAGCAUCAACAUGCCUCUGGCCUGACACUUUCUAGAGACUUCCACUGUUGAAUUUUUUAUCAGAUCCCUUUGAACAGACUCAUGAUCCUUUGGCUACAGGGGGUUAUUAACCUGGCUAGAGGGCUAUCCCCAUGGGUGAGUCGAGUGUAUCUGCCCAUCAUAAAGAAUCUAUUUGCCUUAUCAUACAAGUUUCAUUAUUACAUUUGUCAAUGGAAAAAAAAGGAAGUACUGUUUGAUUCUCUAUAGUCCUAUUGUGCAUAUUUAAAUAGUUAUGGAUAGUACUAUUGUACAUUUUUAAAUAAUUUUAAAAACAUUUGAAUUUUUUUGUCACCCAUUUAUACAACAAUUAUUUUUUCUUGAUAGAGAUUAUUGAGCAUUUUAAGAGGUCAUUUAAAAAAAGUUUUUGUCAGGAACCACAUGUGGCUGUUUCAAGCAUAAAAAUGGAUAUGAAAAUCUUAUGUUCAUGAGAUCAGGGUCAGAUUUUUCAUUAAAAAUUGUGGAAGAAUUUUGUUGAGAUAUUUUAUGCAAAUGUGCAAUUUAGGGGUGCCUGCAUGGCUCGGUUAACCAUCCAACUCUUGAUUUUGGCUCAGGUCGUGAUCUCACAGUUCAUGGGAUUGAGUCCCACAUUGGACUCUGCACUAAUAGCAUGAAGCCUGCUUGGGAUUCUUUGUCUCUCCUGCUCUCUCUGCCCCUCCCCUGCCCUCUCUCUGUCUCUCUCUCAAAAUAAAUAAACAUUAACAAAAAUAAAUCAAACAUGUAUAAAAUUAAAAAAAAAAAAAGACAAAUGAUGGGGCACCUGGAUGGCUCAGUUGGUGAAGUGACUUUGGCUCAGGUCAUGUUCUCACAGUUUGUGGGUUCGAACCCCGUGUCCGGCUCCGUGCUGACAGCUCGGGGCCUGGGGCCUGCUUCAGAUUCUGUGUCUCCCUCUCUCUCUGCCCCUCCCCCACUGGCGCUCUGUCUCUCUCACAAAAAUAAACAUUAAAAAAAAAAAAAGACAAAUGUGAAAUUUAAUUUUUCCUCAUUACCUUCUGGCCAAAUGGUAUAUAGUAAUGUUCUGAUUCUCUCCUCCUAAAUAUUCAUCUUUAUGCUCUUCACUGGGCUUCUACUUAGUUCCCCUAUAACACACGUGAAUUGCCUUCCCCACUUCAUAGACAUGCUUCCUUUGAAGAGGGCACAGGUUUGAUUUCCUCACUAUGUGUAAGUCUUAAGUCUCAUCCACAAGGUUUCAAUGAGAACUUUAUGUUUACACCUGAUGUUAUAACAGUUACUUUGCUUAUUACCUAUGCCUUGUGUGUUUGUACACAGACAUCUAAGGCACCAACUAUUGUUUCUGGCCUCCUUCUCAACUGUUUUCUCACGUGAAUCACAAAACACCUCCCGCUCCCUUAUUCUUUCCGUACUAGGCAUAGCCUAUUACUCUUCAAAGUAACGGGAUUCACAGGUUCACCUGGGUGCUUUCCUCCCUUCCCUUAUUUAUUCUCUUUUCAAGCUCCAUCGGUAAAUUAUUAUUUAUCCAGUAAACACCUGGGCCCAUUAUUAUUUCCCAAUUUUGUGAGAUGCCCUCCAUCCCAAAUCAGAAGUCCAUAAUUUUUAUAACAUAACUAUCUAGAAUUAAGAUAAAUCCAAAUAUAGUAUAAAUCCAAAUAUAGUAAAACAAAACCAUCUUCAUGCCCUGCCACUCAUGUCUCAGACCUUCUUGCUUUCAAACUCAUAAAUGGCAGUAAGAUACAAAGGAAAUGAUGGACUGGGCUCCCAAGUCACUCAUUUCCACAGGGGGCAGAGUGCUCACUUUUCAAAAUCCUGGGUAUUAUCUUCAAAAGCAGCCAAUCUCCCUCACUCACUUCAGCCAAUCCCAAUAUCCUGUCUGGAUCUGCCCCAUUUCUAUGCCUACUGCAUUGCCUUAAUUGAAGCUCUCAUUAUAUUCUGUUUGAAACAUCGCAGUGAUCUCUUUUACAGGUUAGUCUCCACGCUGCCAUCAGAAUUAUUGCCGGAUGCCUCUCAAAAACUGUCCGUGGCUCUCAUUACUACACAGUGAAAUUUACUGCCUUUGACAAUAUGGCCCCAGGCCUCAUCCUACUUUUUGUGCCAAUAAUCUUGUACAAAAAGAGAAACUUGCAGUUCUCUGAAUGUAUCAUAUACGUCCAUGCUUUGGGGCCUUUUCCCAUUCUCUAAUUACCUAGCUAUUACGCCAUCUUUCAAAGCUGAUUCAGAGACCCUUCUCUGGUCUGCCUGCUUCUCUGUACUUAGCCAAGGUUAAUCAUCCUUCCUCUAGCUCCUCUUUGAGCUCUCCCACUAUAUCUCUGUUGCCUGGCAGACAAAGAUUGCAUCAAUAUUUUUUUUCCAUCUCCACCAGCACUUGACCCAGAGCCUGGCAUAUAAGAACUUGAUUAUUAAAUUUCCAAGAAUCUGUGAGCUAAUUACUCUUACGUUGGUUGCUUGAAAUUAGCCAUUAUGGAAGUAUUUAUACCAUGGAAAACACUACAAUAAGAACUUUUUUGAGAGAGAGAAAGGGAGAGAGAGAGAGAGAGAGCUGCUUCUUAAACAUUUACUAGCACACCACUGAUUAUACAAAUGAUACAUGGGUGCAAUAAAAAUCAACAGUCCCAUUUAAUAGCCGCCAUACGCGACCCCAAUCUCUUUCCCAGAAUUCAUCACUCUGGUGUGUAUCUUCCAGACCCCUUUCACAUGUUUUAUGUAUUAUAACAGGUGCUAAGUUUAAGCCUGUGAGUUCAUUGCCCCUUGUCCAUGAAGCUUUCUCUGGCUGUUUCUGACAUCACCUUUGCAACUCCUCUGACUUCCUUCAGCACCUACUGCAUCUUUUCCAACUUCUUUGUGCCUUAUGUUAGUAAGACUUUAAGUUGUUUGGAGAGAGUGAUCAUGCCUGAAUUAUCUCUGGAAAAGACCCUCAUUCAGAUGAGUAAGUUCAGGGGAUCGAAUGUACCUCAUGGAGACUGUAGUUAACAGUACUGUGUUCUAUACUUGAAAGUUGCUAAGAGAGUAUCUUAAAUGUUGUCACCACACACACACACACACACACAAACGGUAGUUAUUUGAGGUGAUGGCCUUAGCUAACCUUAUUGUGGUAAUCACUUUGCAAUAUAUACAUAUAUCAAAUCAUCAUGUUGUACACCUUAAAUUUAUAUAAUGUUAUAUGUCAGGUACGUCUCAAUAAAGCUAGAAAAAAAUGAAAAUCAAAUGAAAAGAACAGAUCCUAAAAAUGUCAGUUGUGUAGUUCUUUGAUUCAAAACCUACUAGUGCAGUCUGAAUAUACCAUUAGAUUUGAAGGUAUGCAAACAAUAAUAAAAAUGAUUGGAGUUUUUUCCUUGUUUCUUAUAUAAAAGGCAACUCUGAUUUUCUCAGGGUAUUGCAGUGUUUGGGGUGAGGGUUAAAAGACAAGGGAACAAUCCUGUGUUUCUCUCUGUUAGCAUGUCUUUAGGUAGUUAAGACUUUAUCCUUCCUUGCUCCCCUCUGCCAGCCUGGAACCAUCUAGUAUAGGAGAGAACUUCCAUGCUCUCAGAAAACAGAGAUUCUAUGCCUUGCAGUCUUUCUCUGUGGGUAUGGAGCUACCAUGUGACGGUAAAUCUGCAGCUGUGCCCAGCAAGACCCUGUGUACAGCCUGAGGGCCAAAGUGAGACGCCCAGCUUGGGUAGCAGACCCAAAUUUCAGAAGAGGUCAUAUCUAACGAGUCCAGUGCAGCUGAAUUUCUUUAUGACCUCCAAGAAGCAGAAAGAGGAGGGAGUCUUCCAGCAACCCCUGCCCCACUAUCUACCACAGUCCCCCAUAAAGUGAGAUGACCACACCAUCCUAUCUGAAAGACACUAAGAAAAAGGCUGUAGUAUAGAGUAAGGCCAAGCGAGGCCAGGCCUUUCCACAAUAACAUGAUGCAAUUUGGAUAUCCAUGGCGAGGUGAUAGAGGUCACAGCUCACAGUUCUGAUGAGUUGUUUUCUUAAGUGUUGAAUGAAAAAGUUCAAGCAAAUGUGAGUAUACAUGGGAGGACUUAGUCCUCUUAAUUGCUAUAUGACAGAGGCAAUUAAAUCUUCCCCAGAGAUGAGAAAUUGCAGAUAUGGCUACCCUGUACCUGCAAUCGCUUCAGAGCCAUAUGGAAAAACUAGGAGGUGGUGUUCUCCGUUAAAGGAGAAAUGAGUCCUGCGUCUUUUUAAAAGUCUUCCUGACAUUCCGAAUGUCUUUUCUUCACUUCUUUUCAAAAGCACAAGCUGAACCCACUGAAAGAUGCGCCAUCGAGAAGAACAAAUAAGUCCCUAGUUCCCACCUCUUCUGAUUCUCCAGCCGUCCAUCCCUGGAGAUUCUUUCUCAGCCAGGAUGCAAUCUUCAUCACCGGGAGAAUUUGACCCUCUUCUUUGAAACACUUCAGGGUGUGGUGGGUUUUUUGGUCUUUGUUGCUAAGUACAGUUACUUAGAUGCCUCUUGCAAGAGAAAGGGGCUGUUUUCCUCUUGACUUUCUUUUCUACUGAAGUGACUGGAAACAGGUGUACAGAUUGGGACAUGAGAUGGUGUAGAAAUCCUAGUACCGCGGACCAUGCAGGAAGAAUCUCUGGGUGAGGGAAGGGUCGCUCUUGAUUCGCCAGAGUAUCCUACAUCAGCUUGUGUGUCCUCCAGCAUGCAUAGUGCCAAGUUCUGCUUCCUAAGCCUUUCUCUUCCUUAGUGAGUGACAGAUAGGGGAGGUGGAUGAGGUGAGAUACCUUUCUAUUUGGGUCAACACCAGUAAAUUAAUUAAGAGUAAGCAAGGUGUUGGAGGUUGGUUUCCAAAAGAAAUAGUCUGUUAGAAUCAUCUUUUUCUGUUUUCAAUUCAUCAAAGAAACCAUAAAAUCCCUGAGAUUUUGAGCUCUCCAGAUGAUUUUAACAGGCAGCCAGUGUUGAGAACCACUAGUCUCCCCCUCCCAAAUAGACACCUGUCUAUCAAUAAGGCUUUUUUUUUUUUUUUUUUUUUUUAGUAGGCUCCAUGCCCAGCAUAAAGCCCAAUGUGGGGCUUGAACUCAUUACCCUGAGAUCAAGACCUGAGCCAAGACCAAGGUUGGACAUUCAACCGACUGAGCCACCCAGGCGCCGUUCUAUAAGGCUUUUGAAGAAAGUGCAUUAAGUCAGUCCUUUUGCUUGGAAUAUAUUCAAAUAGGCACUACCCGAAACUCACUCCAGACCCUGGAGCCAGCAUGUUAGAGAAGCAGCUGUCCCUGACAGGGUAUUAGGCACCCACCUCCCUGUUUCCCAUGAAUAUGUUCAUACAGAUGAACUCUGUUGCAAGUUAACUUUAGACCAAAAGGGAGAAAAGCUGUCUCACAAAUCCAGAGAGAUGUGGACGAGCACGGGAACAUUUGCCUCCUGUCCCUGAUCCCCUAGACCGGGAUGCUGAGUACUAUGAGAUAAUUCUGUGUGUAUAAGUUGUAGGUCUUUUACAAGGAUCCUAUUCAUUUGAACCCCACAAUUUUCCCUUUCGGGGAUGCCUUAUGGGUAGGUCUUCAAAUGCAGAAAGAGUCACCAUAUAGGUCACUCCAAGUGACAUAUAUGUACAUAUAUCUCUCCCACACACUCAAGCUUAAUGACAAAAGUCCAGCUAAAUCUGAAUUCAUUAGACCUCAAGGAGGCCAUUUGUCUCUUAAGGAAACGAGCCUUAUACAAAGCCGCAUGCCCCUUCAGAGCUUCUUUGGUGGAAACAGAUUCCCCACCCUCAGACUGGAUGCCCAGAGUGCUGUAGCCUGAUGACCCAGGGGAUGCCAGUUACCCGUAGGUACAGGGCACCUCCGGUGUGGCCAUAGCAGGCAGGCAACUGCAGGAAUCUGGUCUCCUCACUACGGGGUUCAGCUGUCACACCUGCUAUCUUUAUUGUUUAGAUAUAUUAAUGGUUUUCUUUCAUUCACUCACAUAAAUCAAAGAGGCCCACAUGUUCCAGAUAACUCUAGAUAAAGUGUGGCAGCCAUCCAUCCAAGGCAAGCCAUAGCACAGUGUAGGAAAUGCUCCCUGCACAGCAGCCUCACAUCUCAGACUUUCGAGGAAAUUCCCAAUAUAUUUAUAAAGCAGGUGCCUGCACACAUAUAAUGCUAACUACCGGUUAACACCAGUGUGAGGGCCUUUCAAUCCUCAGUGGAAAUAGAGCCAUUGAAAAUAUAUACCUGAAAAGAAAUCAGUUUGAUUUAUACAAUCCCUGACAUGUAUUUAGAAGUGUAACAGAAGAGCCAACCAUAUUUGUUUACUAAAAAAUAUGCCAACGGGUACCUGGCUGGCUCAGUCAGUAGAGCAUGAGACUCUUGAUCUCAGGGUGGUGAGUUCAAGCCCCAAGUUGGGCACGGAACCUACUUAAAGACAAAACAAGCCAAGAGGCGCCUGUGUGGCUCAGUUGAUUAAGCACCUGACUUCUUGAUUUUGGCUCAGUUCAUGAUCUCAUGGUUCGUGAGUUUGAGCCCCAAGUUGGUCUCUGUGCCACCAUUGCAGAGCCUACUUGGGAUUCUCUCUCUCUCUCUCUCUCUCUCUCUCUCUCUCUCUCUGUACCCCUCCCCUGCUCAUACGCUCUUUCUCUCUCAAAACAAACAAAUACACUUUUUAAAAAAUAUAUGAAAAAAAGGCCAAAACUCUACUUUUGUGAAAAUGCACUUUUAAUAUAGCCAAAAGUAUAUUAAAAUGUACAAUGAAUGGAAGACUCACAACAACCACACUUAUCCAUGGAGGGAUAAAACACUGACACUAGAAGGUCUAUCCCUAUCCUGUAGGAUCUGGGCAACCCUGCUGUUCCCCUUGUCUUAGAGCUUGGGUUCUGCACAGGAGGACAGCAGUUUCCAACUCAGAGGGGGAUUUCUGCUGUCCAGAUGCUAAGGCUGUCUUCAUCCAGGUGGGAACUGUUCAAGUACUGAUGGCAAGUGCUGGCCACGAAGGCACAGGAAGAGGGUAACUGUUCUCACUCUGUCACUGCUCCUGUCACUCCCCCACAACCAGAAGAAGCCCACCCACUCCACCUCCCUUGAUGAAGGCCCCACUGAUCCUUAUGAUGUGAGGGUUCUUAGGGUGACAGUAGAGGGAGUGCCUGGUUUCAAUUUGGGGACACAUAUCUUUCACAAAGGCCAUACUCUUGAUGGCUGGGCCUGAGCCACUGCAUUACCUCCUCCCAUGGUGCAAGUGAGUAUCCUGAGUCAGUGAAAGGUAGGAUCCUAACAGAACAAGAGCAAGCAGGGAAAGGGCAGGCAAGCCAGGCUCACAGAAGUAGGGAACUGCCAAUGGAAGAUCAGGUGAGGACCCUGGAAUUCACCCUGAGUUGGGGACAGGUGCAUGUUCACCAGAAGAGCCAGAUGUCUGCUUGAAAUUCCACAGAGCCACAAGUGAACUAGAAGUAAUGCUGGAAUAAUCAACAGAUAGAGUAGAUGGCAAAAAUGAGAUACAUCAAUCUCUAAUAUUUACAUAAAAAUUUAAUAAUGUUUGUAAUGUUUAUUUUUGAGAGAGAGAGACAGAGCGUGAGCAGGGGAGGGGCAGAGAGAGAGGGAGACACAGAAUCCGAAGCAGGCUCCAGGCUCUAAGCUGUCAGCACAGAACUCGACGCAGGGCUUGAACUCAUGAACCGUGAGAUCAUGACCUGAGCUAAGUUGGACGUUUAACCGACCAAGCCAACCAGGUACCCAUAUUUAAAUAAAAUUUCAAUAAUAACCUCAGAAAAUGUCCUUUCUCCAGGCUCAUUGAAAUGUUUAACGUAAAUGUAUCUCUCCAAAAUCUAAAGUGGGCAAAAACAUCUUCACUUUGCCGUCUUGAAUCCACAUCUUAUCUUCAGUGUUUUUGUGCCAUAUUUUGAAUGUUUAUUAAGUUGCCUUCUCUGUUAUACAAUCAGAGCGUUGCAAUGGUUUUGUUGUUAUUGUUGUUGUUAAUUUAAAACAUGAUUUAUAGUUGGGGUGCCUGGGUGGCUCAGUCAGUUAAAGGUCUAGACUUCCACCCAGGUCAUGAUCUUGUGGUUCAUGAGUUUGAGCCCUGUGCCAGGCUCUGUGCUGACAGCUCAGAGCCUGGAGCCUGCUUCAGAUUCUGUGUCUCCAUCUCUCUCUGUCCCUGUCCCCACUCAUGCUGGCUUGUUCUCUCUCUCUCUCUCUC